rnacentral:misc_RNA from 1 species
GUUGUGGGCGUGCUUUUGUAUGGCAGGAAAGCGCUUUGGUUAAGUGGAGUAGGCUCGUACCAGAAGGCAUCACCCUGCAAUUCCUUAAAGAAAAGAUCCAUUUUCUUCCCUGGCUAGCGGCUGUUCUCCCGGGAAUUUAAAAUUUUGUUUUCGACGGCUAUAUAUAUAUAACGGUCUCCUCAAAUUGAAUUUCUCUCUUUAACAGGAGAAUUUUCAGUAGAAGCAAUUGCCCAUGUGGUCAAACGUUUGUUCUUUUAG